rnacentral:rRNA from 1 species
CAAGGGCAACCGGCGAACGGGUGCGUAACACGUGAGCAACCUGCCGAUCUGAGGGGGAUAGCCGGCCCAACGGCCGGGUAAUACCGCAUACGCUUUUCGGGUGGAGUCACCUGGGAAGGAAACCUCCGGGGCAGAUCGAGGGGCUCGCGGCCUAUCAGCUAGUUGGUGGUGUAACGGACCACCAAGGCUUCGACGGGUAGCUGGUCUGAGAGGAUGGCCAGCCACAUUGGGACUGAGGGACGGCCCAGACUCCUACGGGAGGCAGCAGUGGGGAAUCUUGCGCAAUGGCCGAAAGGCUGACGCAGCGACGCCGCGUGUGGGAUGAAGCAUUUCGGUGUGUAAACCUCUGUUGCCCGGGACGAACAGCUUCUUUUGAGGAGCCUGACGGUACCGGGUGAGGAAGCACCGGCUAACUCCGUGCCAGCAGCCGCGGUAAUACGGAGGGUGCGAGCGUUGUCCGGAAUCACUGGGCGUAAAGGGCGCGUAGGUGGCGCGGGCAGUCAACGGUGAAAGUUCGGGGCUCAACCCCGAAUCGGCCGUCGAUACUCCCGAGCUUGAGCACUGUAGAGGCAGAUGGAAUUCCGGGUGUAGCGGUGGAAUGCGUAGAGAUCCGGAAGAACACCGGUGGCGAAGGCGGUCUGCUGGGCAGUUGCUGACACUGAGGCGCGACAGCGUGGGGAGCAAACAGGAUUAGAUACCCUGGUAGUCCACGCCGUAAACGAUGGGCACUAGGUGCUUGGGGGAGCGACCCUCUGAGUGCCGGCGCUAACGCAUUAAGUGCCCCGCCUGGGGAGUACGGCCGCAAGGCUGAAACUCAAAGGAAUUGACGG